AGAAUGAACGCUGGCGGCGUGCUUUACUCAUGCAAGUUGAGCGAGGCCACCCGCAAGGGUGAGUCGAGCGGCGAACGGGUGAGUAACGCGUGGAUAACCUGCCCUGAAGUGGGGAAUAACCCGGGGAAACUCGGGCUAAUACCGCAUGAUACCGAGAGGUCAAGGAGGGCUCGCAAGAGCUCUUGCUGCAGGAGGGGUCCGCGUUCGAUUAGCUAGUUGGUAGGGUAAUGGCCUACCAAGGCGACGAUCGAUAGCCGGCCUGAGAGGGUGAGUCGGACCGACGACUGGAACUGAGACACGGUCCAGACUCCUACGGGAGCAGCAGUGGGAAUUUGCGCAAUGGGCUAACGCCUGACGCAGCAACGCCGCGUGGAGAUGAAGGUCUUGGAUUGUAAACUCCUGUCAGACGAAGGAAAAGGAGUUAGACCGUAAUACGUCGAUGACUUGUAUUGUACCUGACAGAGGACGGCCCCG
rnacentral:rRNA from 1 species